rnacentral:rRNA from 1 species
AACGUAGGACACAAGCGUUAUCCGGAGUUACUGGGCGUAAAGGGCGUGUAGGCGGAUUGGUAAGUCUAUUCUGAAAGCUCCUGGCUAAACUGGGAGAGGCGAAUGGAGACUGCCAGUCUAGAGUGAGGAAGAGGAAAGUGGAAUUCCGCGUGUAGUGGUGAAAUGCGUAGAGAUGCGGAGGAACACCAGUGGCGAAAGCGACUUUCUGGUCCUUAACUGACGCUGAGGCGCGAAAAGCAUGGGGAGCGAACGGG